GCGCAGCAGUCGAGAAUUUUUCUCAAUGGGGGGCAACCCUGAAGGAGCGACGCCGCGUGGAGGAUGAAGGCUUUCGGGUCGUAAACUCCUGUCAUUUGAGAACAAGUGCCAACACCUAACUACUGUUGGCUUGAUAGUAUCAGAAGAGGAAGGGACGGCUAACUCUGUGCCAGCAGCCGCGGUAAUACAGAGGUCCCAAGCGUUGUUCGGAUUCAUUGGGCGUAAAGGGUGCGUAGGUGGCGCCGUAAGUGGGGUGUGAAAUUCCGGAGCUUAACUCCGAAACUGCAUUCCAUACUGCGGUGCUUGAGGACUGGAGAGGAGACUGGAAUUUACGGUGUAGCAGUGAAAUGCGUAGAGAUCGUAAGGAAGACCAGUGGCGAAGGCGGGUCUCUGGACAGUUCCUGACACUGAGGCACGAAGGCCAGGGGAGCGAACGGGAUUAGA
rnacentral:rRNA from 1 species